AAAGCUGUGACUGAGGAACUUAUGCAUGUCUGAGGUGGGAAGGGGAGGGUGAGAGCAGGAGACUCUGGAGGAGGAGGAAUGGAGACGACUCCACAAAGAGGCUGACUUUGAGACCAAGCAGGACGAAAGAGCUGGGCUUGGCUGGUGGAAUAAGGACAUCACAAAGAGCGUCUGCAGCAGCGCAUGCCAAGGAGGGCUGGAAGGAACGCUGAGGUCAAUGUCACCUUUUUGGAGGAACGGGCUUCAAGGAUGCUUGAAAUAAAUGGAUGAGUCAAGUUUA